rnacentral:rRNA from 1 species
GAUGAACGCUGGCGGCGUGCCUAAUACAUGCAAGUCGAACGAGGUGCUUGAGUAGCAAUACGAGAGUAUCCUAGUGGCGAACGGGUGAGUAACGCGUUGGUGACCUACCCCAAAGUGUGGGAUAACAGUUCGAAAGGAUUGCUAAUACCGCAUGUGGUCUUCGGAUUUAGAAACUGAUGACUAAAGGAGCAAUUCGCUUUGGGAGGGACCUGCGUCCCAUCAGCUAGUUGGUGAGGUAAUGGCUCACCAAGGCUACGACGGGUAGGGGACCUGAGAGGUGACCCCCCACAAUGGAACUGAAACACGGUCCAUACACCUACGGGUGGCAGCAGUAGGGAAUAUUGCACAAUGGGCGAAAGCCUGAUGCAGCAACGCCGCGUGUGCGAUGAAGGCCUUCGGGUCGUAAAGCACUUUUCUG